GACGAACGCUGGCGGCGUGCUUAACACAUGCAAGUCGAACGGAAAGGCCCUGCUUUUGUGGGGUGCUCGAGUGGCGAAUGGGUGAGUAACACGUGAGUAACCUGCCCUUGACUGUGGGAUAACUUCAGGAAACUGGGGCUAAUACCGGAUAGGAGCUCCUGCUGCAUGGUGGGGGUUGGAAAGUUUCGGUGGUUGGGGAUGGACUCGCGGCUUAUCGGCUUGUUGGUGGGGUAGUGGCUUACCAAGGCUUUGACGGGUAGCCAGCCUGAGCGGGUGACCGGCCACAUUGGGACUGAGAUGCGGCCCAGACUCCUACGGGAGGCAGCAGUGGGGAAUAUUGCACAAUGGGCGGAAGCCUGAUGCAGCAGCGCCGCGUGCGGGAUGACGGCCUUCGGGUUGUAAACCGCUUUCGCCUGUGACGAAGCGUGAGUGACGGUAAUGGGUAAAGAAGCACCGGCUAACUACGUG
rnacentral:rRNA from 1 species